rnacentral:rRNA from 1 species
CCUACGGGAGGCAGCAGUGAGGAAUAUUGGUCAAUGGGCGGAAGCCUGAACCAGCCAAGUAGCGUGCAGGAUGACGGCCCUACGGGUUGUACACUGCUUUUAUACGGGAAUAACGCGCCUUACGUGUAGGGCUUUGCAUGUACCUUAUGAAUAAGGACCGGCUAAUUCCGUGCCAGCAGCCGCGGUAAUACGGAAGGUCCGGGCGUUAUCCGGAUUUAUUGGGUUUAAAGGGAGCGUAGGCCGCAUGUCAAGCGUGCUGUGCACUGUCCGGGGUCAACCCGGGCCGUGCAGCGCGAACUGGCGUGCGUGAGGUCGCGGAAGGCAGGCGGAAUGCGUCGUGUAGCGGUGAAAUGCUUAGAUAUGACGAAGAACCCCGAUUGCGAAGGCAGCUUGCUGCAGCGGAACUGACGCUGAUGCUCGAAAGCGCGGGUAUCGAACAGGAUUAGAUACCCCAGUAGUC